UCUCAUGCCUAAUGGUCCCAACACGUCUUCUCCUAUCUCUAUAAAUGCAUUACUCUCCAUUGCGGAGCUUCAACACAGAGCUAAGCUAAGCAACCUAUUCACUGAUUUCUAAGCUUUCUUUUUUUCAUCAACACCAUGUCUAGCACCUGCGGCAACUGCGACUGCGCUGACAAGUCUCAGUGCGUGUAAGUGCUUAGUUUCUUAUCCAAUAUUAAUCUUUUUUUUUUUUCUUUUUAAUUUAUACAUGCAUCCAUCAAGUUAAUAAGCUUGUAAACAAGCUGAGUUUGAGUUCAAGCAUGUAAAUAAGGCAUAACUUUUUUUUUAUUUUUCCAACUACUGAUUUACUAUUCAAAUCAGUCGAGCUAAAACUUAGUUUUUGAAGCUCGAAUCAAGAUUGGAUAACGUGAGUGGAACUCAAGCUCAACGAGCUAGAACUCUGAGCAUAUAAACCAGCCAUAACUUUAUUUUUUCAACUAUAAAUUGUGAACAAGCUAAUCUGUGAUUUACAACUUAAAUGGGUCAAACUAAAGCUUGGUUUUUGAAGCUUGAAUCAAGAUUGGAUAUACCUGAGUCGAACUCAAGCUCAAUAAACCUCGACUAGCGGCCUUAGUUCUGAGAUAAUAUUCGUGCAUGGCUUAAUUAAUUGUAUUAACACUAUGCACUUUGAAUUCUGCAGGAAAAAGGGCAGCAGCUACACUGCUGACAUCGUUGAGACUGAGAAGAGGUUUGCAAAUUAACUAAUAAAGUUAAUCCAUAUUUAUUUGUAUUGCUACUUUACUUAUUUACUUAUUUAUUUAUUUUUGCAGCUUUGUCUCCACCAUUGUCAUGGAUGUUCCGGCCGGCGCUGAGAACGACGGCAAGUGCAAGUGUGGUCCAAGCUGCACCUGUGUGGACUGCGGUUGUGGUCAUUGAAGCAUAUAAUAAAAAUGAAAGAGUGGUGUGUGAGAGUUUACUAAUAAUGUAAUUGUGCUAAAUAAUUUGUAUUUCCUGUUAAAAUACAUGUGGGUGUGAAGUGAAAUGUGUGAAAGAGCCAUGUCUCUGUUUCCUUGCAUACCUUGUGUAAUGGCCAUAUCUAUGGCUUCUUGUGUGGUUUAAUGAAUU
rnacentral:lncRNA from 1 species